ACAAUGAAGAGUUUGAUCCUGGCUCAGGAUGAACGCUAGCGGCAGGCCUAACACAUGCAAGUCGAGGGGCAUCGGGGAAAAGCUUGCUUUUCCGCCGGCGACCGGCGCACGGGUGCGGAACGCGUAUGGAACCUGCCCCUGUCAGGGGAAUAGCCCAGGGAAACUUGGAUUAAUGCCCCAUGGUACCGUUAUAUCGCAUGAUAUUACGGUUAAAGAUUUAUCGGACAGGGAUGGCCAUGCGUACCAUUAGUUAGUUGGUGGGGUAACGGCUCACCAAGGCAGCGAUGGUUAGGGGCCCUGAGAGGGGGAUCCCCCACACUGGUACUGAGACAC
rnacentral:rRNA from 1 species